rnacentral:rRNA from 1 species
UACGUAGGGUGCAAGCGUUGUCCGGAAUUAUUGGGCGUAAAGAGCUCGUAGGCGGUCUGUCGCGUCUGCUGUGAAAACCUAAGGCUCAACCUUGGGCUUGCAGUGGGUACGGGCAGACUAGAGUGCGGUAGGGGUGACUGGAAUUCCUGGUGUAGCGGUGGAAUGCGCAGAUAUCAGGAGGAACACCAAUUGCGAAGGCAGCUCGUUGGGACGUAACUGACGCUGGAGAACGCGAAAAGCGUGGGGGAGCAAACAGG